rnacentral:rRNA from 1 species
GACGAACGCUGGCGGCGUGGAUUAGGCAUGCAAGUCGAGCGAUAUCUUACCUUCGGGUAAGUGAAGGCGGCGAACGGGUGAGUAACACGUGAAUAACCUGCCCUCACAUUCCGGAUAAUAGACCGAAAGGCCUUGUAAUACGGGCGAGGAUUUCUCUUAGGCAUCUUAGAGAAAGGGAAGGCGCAAGCCGUGCGAGGAGG